rnacentral:rRNA from 1 species
GACGAACGCUGGCGGCGUGCCUAAUACAUGCAAGUCGAGCGGACUUCAGGGAGCUUGCUCCCUGAUAUCAGCGGCGGACGGGUGAGUAACACGUGGGCAACCUGCCUGUAAGACUGGGAUAACUUCGGGAAACCGGAGCUAAUACCGGAUAAUCCUUUUCCUCUCAUGAGGGAAAGCUGAAAGACGGUUUCGGCUGUCACUUACAGAUGGGCCCGCGGCGCAUUAGCUAGUUGGUGAGGUAACGGCUCACCAAGGCGACGAUGCGUAGCCGACCUGAGAGGGUGAUCGGCCACACUGGGACUGAGACACGGCCCAGACUCCUACGGGAGGCUG